rnacentral:rRNA from 1 species
AGAGUUUGAUCCUGGCUCAGGAUGAACGCUAGCUACAGGCUUAACACAUGCAAGUCGAGGGGCAGCAUGAACUUAGCUUGCUAAGUUUGAUGGCGACCGGCGCACGGGUGAGUAACGCGUAUCCAACCUGCCCUUUACUCGGGGAUAGCCUUCUGAAAGGAAGUUUAAUACCCGAUGAAUUCGUUUAGUCGCAUGGCUUGAUGAAUAAAGAUUAAUUGGUAAAGGAUGGGGAUGCGUCCCAUUAGCUUGUUGGCGGGGUAACGGCCCACCAAGGCGACGAUGGGUAGGGGUUCUGAGAGGAAGGUCCCCCACAUUGGAACUGAGACACGGUCCAAACUCCUACGGGAGGCAGCAGUGAGGAAUAUUGGUCAAUGGGCGCGAGCCUGAACCAGCCAAGUAGCGUGGAGGACGACGGCCCUACGGGUUGUAAACUCCUUUUAUAAGGGGAUAAAGUUGGCCAUGUAUGGCCAUUUGCAGGUACCUUAUGAAUAAGCAUCGGCUAAUUCCGUGCCAGCAGCCGCGGUAAUACGGAAGAUGCGAGCGUUAUCCGGAUUUAUUGGGUUUAAAGGGAGCGUAGGCGGGCAGUCAAGUCAGCGGUCAAAUGGCGCGGCUCAACCGCGUUCCGCCGUUGAAACUGGCAGCCUUGAGUAUGCACAGGGUACAUGGAAUUCGUGGUGUAGCGGUGAAAUGCUUAGAUAUCACGAGGAACUCCGAUCGCGCAGGCAUUGUACCGGGGCAUUACUGACGCUGAGGCUCGAAGGUGCGGGUAUCAAACAGGAUUAGAUACCCUGGUAGUCCGCACAGUAAACGAUGAAUGCCCGCUGUCGGCGACAUAGUGUCGGCGGCCAAGCGAAAGCGUUAAGCAUUCCACCUGGGGAGUACGCCGGCAACGGUGAAACUCAAAGGAAUUGACGGGGGCCCGCACAAGCGGAGGAACAUGU